GACGAACGCUGGCGGCGUGCUUAACACAUGCAAGUCGAACGGAAAGGCCCUGCUUUUGUGGGGUGCUCGAGUGGCGAACGGGUGAGUAACACGUGAGUAACCUGCUCUUGACUUUGGGAUAACUUCAGGAAACUGGGGCUAAUACCAGAUAGGAGCUCCUGCUGCAUGGUGGGGGUUGGAAAGUUUCGGCGGUUGGGGAUGGACUCGCGGCUAAUCGGCUUGUUGGUGGGGUAGUGGCUAACCAAGGCUCUGACGGGUAGCCGGCCUGAGAGGGUGACCGGCAACAUUGGGACUGAGAUACGGCCCGGACUCCUACGGGAGGCAGCAGUGGGGAAUAUUGCACAAUGGGCGGAAGCCUGAUGCAGCAACGCCGCGUGCGGGAUGACGGCCUUCGGGUUGUAAACCGCUUUCGCAGGUGACGAAGCGUGGGUGACGGUAAUGGAUGAAGAAGCACCGGCUAACUACGUG
rnacentral:rRNA from 1 species